ACAGACAACAAAACUUCUGUAGCCAAACUACUCAAAUUAUUUACUAAGUCACACACUGUUUUUGUUUUCCAACUACAAAGUACAAGUGCCAUUCAAAGACGUAAUGGAUAUGUGUAAGGACAACAAAAUUACUUCAUAGUAUCAUCCAUUCUUUUUUCUAUAAAUAUGGGACUCUCAAAACCUGAUGCACACGAGGAUUGAAUGAUAGUUCAAUGUGUGCUUGAUCAAGUGAGAGUUGCUCGGGACAAUAUGACAAUAAAACGUGAUGCCAUACGUAGGUGUAGCAAUGGGGGGCACCGGGAAUAUGUGACGUCUCCUUUUCAUCAAGCUAGUCAAAUAGCAUGACCGAUUCUGGUUCAAUGUCUCAAUGAUCCGGUCCGGCUUGGACCCAAUGCUGGAGAUCUAAACUUGGUAGGUUACCAGUAUCUGGUGAGAUCCAAUUCACACCUUAUAGAUCGUCCAGGUGCUGCAUUUUAUCGCCUCGAUUUUCCAGAAUGACCUUCGUCAACUCCUCACACCAUCCCAACAUCGCUGAGUCCCACCUUGACAAGAGGACGAUACGGGGAUGCUUUCUGCUUCUCUCUCAAUCCCAGUCCACGACUCUCCUUUUCUCUUUCAUUUUUUCAUUUUUUUCUUCCCAAAAACCUCAAUCUCUGUGUGACAUGUGUCCCAUUGGGAUGAAGAAAAAGAAGAAGAAGGGUGUCCCUCGCAUAGUUGUAUGUUUAAGUAGUUGUAUUAGAAACACUAAUAUACGAACAAAGAAUUCACUGCAAUUAAUUAUCUUGUCAUAGAAGUCCACAAACUCCAAUAUAUAUCGAACACGCUGUGAAUGCCAAUAACAUUGAUUUAAGAAUUAUGCAUCUCUAGAUUACUUGCCAAGUGACUAGAUGAACUCUGAUAUUUAAGAUACACGGUCUUGUUUUUCAAUCGGCUAGUUGGCAGCCACAAAAUAAACCCAGAAAAUGGCAGUCAUCCUCUUCCCUUGCUUUCUAGCAUAUUUUUCGAUAAGGGGCCUUUUAUUACUUAAAUGGCUUAAGCAUU
rnacentral:lncRNA from 1 species